CCCGCCAGGUCCACAUGCCAGAGUGUCAACAUGACCCAGCCAGCCUCCUUCCUGAGCUAGGAGGAUUAGGAAAUGAGGCUGGCUAGGAGCACAGCCAGGG
ensembl:miRNA